GAUGAACGCUGGCGGCGUGCCUAAUACAUGCAAGUCGAGCGAACAGACGAGGAGCUUGCUCCUCUGACGUUAGCGGCGGACGGGUGAGUAACACGUGGAUAACCUACCUAAAAGUGAGGGUUAACUCCGGAAAACGGAGCUGAAACCGGAUAAUUUUUUGAAACGCAUUGGUUAAUUGUGAAAGUAGGGUUUGCUGUGCACUAUCGAUUGGUCCCGGGCGGAUUAGGUAGUUUGGAAGGUAACGGCUUACCAAGGGCACGAUUGGCAGCCGACCUGAGAGGGUGAUCGGCCACACUGGAACUGAGACACGGUCCAGACUCCUACGGGAGGCAGCAGUAGGGAAUCUUCCGCAAAGGGCGAAAGCCUGACGGGGCAACGCCGCGUGAGUGAUGAAGGUCUUCGGAUCGUAAAACUCUGUUAUUAGGGAAGAACAAAUGUGUAAGUAACUAUGCACGUCUUGACGGUACCUAAUCAGAAAGCCACGGCUAACUACGUG
rnacentral:rRNA from 1 species